CUCAACACGGAGCUGGCUCUGCAUCGCCUGCACGAGGCUCGGGGCACCGUUCCAGAAGCUCUGGAAAUGCUGCCUUCUGCCCACCCUGGAGACCCGAAUCCCAUCCUUUGGCUGAUUACCAUUGCGCAGGCUUGGAUACUUGGACCCCACUGGAACAGCAGUUGUUUCAAGAGGCUUUUUACACCCAUGUGAAAUGUGUUCACCUGAUUCGUGUUAAUAUCUUUAACUGUUCUGUUUGUCCUUGUGUGACCAUGGGCUUGGGAGAAGCGGGAUUGGAUGGAUGUAGUUUCUGUUUCUUGUAAGAACCCCUAAGGAAACCAGUUUUUUGUUACUGGCCGCGUGGUGCUG